CUCCUCAGAAGGCAUCACUUGAUUUGCCUACCUAGACUCUCUCCCCGCCCAGGGACAGGCCUAGGAGCCCACACCGCGCUCUUUGGGUAGAACACUGCGCGGAGCUCUCGGAACAGGACACAGACGAGAACGAGGACGAGGGUCAGGACCACGAAGAGAGACGGAGUUAGCUGGAGAGACUCCGGGGCUCCCACUGUGCACGGAGGGAUUUGAGCAGCGUCGGGAGGGCCGAGGGGCAUGUCGGACACCAAAGGGGCCUGCAGCUGCGGCGGGGAGCCCUCUGAACCCAGCGCAGGAUGAAGCUGACCGCCCGAGCAUCCUGCUUUGCUGACGCACCGGUGGAUAUUUGCUUCUGGUCGUUAUUCCGGCUCCUGGUCUCCAGUCCAACCAGAGGCCUCUUAGCAGCAGCACCGGUCCUGCUACCCGGCAGACCUCUUCCAGAGCUUUCCGGAUAUGGUUAACCACUGUCGAGCAAGGGGCUUUUUGAGCUCCGACGCAGAGGCCCUCCGUGGGGACCUCAGGAAUUCGUGGGCACGCCUGGCAGAUGCUGUGUGCGUUCCAGCUGUGGAUAGAGGGUGUUGAGGACACCUAGCUGAAAUGUAGACUCAUUAAAGUUACCAUGGAGAACUGCUCAGAUACUCAUCGUGACAGCCUUUCUUUAGGUGUAAAUGCAACAGAUGAUGCUAAAAUAUGUUCUUUCCUUUCCCUCUCACAGGCAGGGGGCCCCUUGUAAGUUCAAGAGCACAUUGUAUAUCUUCAUCUCUGAAAUAGUCACUUUGACACUGUCUUUACAGACCGCAGUGUGAGCUUGUGUGGUGGCCCUUGUCUUGCUCCCCAGCAAGAAGGAAAUUGUCGUUUGAAUUUUUAAGAUUUAUCAUUUUUUCCCCCCACUCCAUACCAUUUGUGGCCCAGCUUCUCAUUUCAAGAGAGAAAUAGUUAUAUAUAUAUAGUCCUCAUUCUUUGUGACUGGCUGAAUUAUAAAUUGUUGAAAUAGGGUAGCUAUACCUCAUCUUACUUGUUAUUGGGGGGGGGGGAAUCUGUCUCUCACUCCCAAAUAAAUGUCUUUUAUAUUGUCAAAUGUUCCUCGUCUGGGGGGGAAAAAACUUUCAAUAUAUAUAUAUAUAUAUAUAUAUAUAUAUAUAUUUUUUUUUUUUUUUGNNNNNNNNNNNNNNNNNNNNNNNNNNNNNNNNN
rnacentral:lncRNA from 1 species